AUGGCUUUGGAGAGACACCAAAGCCAAGGAGUUGAGAGUCCAUCAGAACUAGCUUGUGACAGGGAUGUCUCUUGGAAGGACUCAGGAUCAUCAUCCAUGAGUGCCAUCACGUUUGGAUUAGCUGCCACUGCAGUACUAGUAUCUAUGUUUCUUGUCAUGGCAAUCUUUGAACAUCUAAUCAUACCAAGGGUGUCCUUCUUUCGGUCGCGGAGCAAUGCACGAGGAUCCUCGGAAACCGGCCAGCUGCCUGUGCAGACUCACCUGCAGGAGAAGAUUCAGGAUUCAGUAGCAGUUGGAGCUCAGCACACAUCUGAUCUGUCUGUGCUAAUGCCGGGACAAGAUUAUCCUACCUUCAUUGCUCAACCUGCUCCUCUUCCUUGCCAAAGAGAGGGCAUGCACUGGCCUUCACAUGGUCCUCAUGUAUCCUACAAGUAAAUGAUGUCAUCUGGUGCAAUUCCAUUGGAGAGA